rnacentral:rRNA from 1 species
GACGAACGCUGGCGGCGUGCUUAACACAUGCAAGUCGAGCGGUAAGGCCCUUUCGGGGGUACACGAGCGGCGAACGGGUGAGUAACACGUGGGUGACCUGCCCUCAGCUCUGGGAUAAGCCUGGGAAACCGGGUCUAAUACUGGAUAUGACUCCAUGACGCAUGUUGUGGGGUGGAAAGCCUUGUGCGGCUGAGGAUGGGCCCGCGGCCUAUCAGCUUGUUGGUGGGGUGANGGCCUACCAAGGCGACGACGGGUAGCCGGCCUGAGAGGGCGACCGGCCACACUGGGACUGAGACACGGCCCAGACCCCUACGGGAGGCAGCGAGUGGGGAAUCUUGCGCAAUGGGCGAAAGCCUGACGCAGCGACGCCGCGUGAGGAUG